CGGCGGCCGCGCAACGCGGCGGGCCCGGGCCGCGCCCUCACCGCCCCUCAGCGCGUCCUUCUGCGGCCUGCCCGGCGUCCUCUCCUGCCGCAGAAAAGGACAAUGGGGGAGAAGAAGUGAGGGAUGAUGGACGUGGUCUUAGAAGGCAACUGAGUCUGUAGGAGCUUUAGUCCAUCACACCACCCACUGUUUGGCCAGAAGAUGUAGAAAGACUGAGCAAGACCAAGCAGGUGGUGUUGUCCAGUAAUGCAUCAUUAGAAGAUGGAGAAGACAGAGGAGCAGACGAAUAUCUAGAGGAGGUGGGGGUAUGAAAUACCUGCUUUCAAGUAUUUUUACAUUCACUUUGAGUUCUUCAUGAAGUCCUGUAGUCUGAUGAAAAAAAGUUAAGCUUGGGAAAUUUCAGCCAGAUGAAUUCAGGAGAAAUAUGGUUAAACAUUAAAUGUAGCUAUUUUGAAGAACACAUUUUCCACCCAACUCUAAUGCUUGCUUCUUAAGUUCAGCUGCAGCUUUCCUCUCCAAGUGCUGAAGCUCAUCCUGUUACACCAUGCUUGGUUGAAUCUCAGCUAAUACCCAACUCUACAUUUUUGUGAGAGGUGAGAAGCUCCUCCUUCCACCUGCAAAGGGCAACUACAGAUAAGUUCUGCUCAACUACAGAUAAGUUUGGCCCAAGUCUUCUUUUUUGAAAUAAUUUGUAAGCUGCCAAAAAAAAUUUCUGUAAGAUUGUUUCUAUUAAAAAAAGAAACCCCCUUCAAUGUCAGUAAAAAUAGAUACCACUUCUUACUGAGUAAACAUCUGAAUCAUGAAUCACUGGAUGCUGAGAAUAUUCAUGGGAAGCAUUAACACACACUUCCCAAAUUCUCUGCUCCUUCCCACUAGCCAUUGAUGCAGCCAGGAUUCACUGCCU